rnacentral:rRNA from 1 species
CAAACGAAAAUACAAAAGUAUUUUAGUGGCGAACGGGUGAGUAAUGUAUAAGAAUCUACUUGAUAGUUUAGAAUAAUUUCUUUUAAUUGAGGAGGUAAUACUAAAUAUUUAAGAUAAUUUUUUUUUAUCUUAAUAAAGAUUAAUCGCUAUUAAAUGAGCUUAUAUAGGAUUAGGUAGUUGGUGGGGUAAAAGCCUACCAAGCCAACGAUCCUUAGCUGGUCUGAGAGGACGGUCAGCCACAUUGGGACUGAGAUAAGGCCCAA